rnacentral:piRNA from 1 species
UGACCUAGCGGCACAAUCUGACUUGC